GAUGAACGCUGGCGGCGUGCCUAAUACUUGCAAGUCGAGCGAACAGACGAGGAGCUUGCUCCUCUGACGUUAGCGGCGGACGGGUGAGUAACACGUGGAUAACCUACCUAUAAGACUGGGAUAACUUCGGGAAACCGGAGCUAAUACCGGAUAAUAUAUUGAACCGCAUGGUUCAAUAGUGAAAGACGGUUUUGCUGUCACUUAUAGAUGGAUCCGCGCCGCAUUAGCUAGUUGGUAAGGUAACGGCUUACCAAGGCGACGAUGCGUAGCCGACCUGAUAGGGUGAUCGGCCACACUGGAACUGAGACACGGUCCAGACUCCUACGGGAGGCAGCAGUAGGGAAUCUUCCGCAAUGGGCGAAAGCCUGACGGAGCAACGCCGCGUGAGUGAUGAAGGUCUUCGGAUCGUAAAACUCUGUUAUUAGGGAAGAACAAAUGUGUAAGUAACUAUGCACGUCUUGACGGUACCUAAUCAGAAAGCCACGGCUAACUACGUG
rnacentral:rRNA from 1 species